UACGUAGGGGGCGAGCGUUGUCCGGAUUUAUUGGGCGUAAAGAGCUCGUAGGCGGCUUGGCAAGUCAGAUGUGAAAACUCUGGGCUUAACCCUGAGACGCCAUCUGAGACUGCUAUGGCUAGAGUCCGGUAGGGGACCACGGAAUUCCUGGUGUAGCGGUGAAAUGCGCAGAUAUCAGGAGGAACACCGGUGGCGAAGGCGGUGGUCCGGGCCGGCACUGACGCUGAGGAGCGAAAGCGUGGGGAGCAAACAGG
rnacentral:rRNA from 1 species